rnacentral:rRNA from 1 species
AUUGAACGCUGGCGGCAGGCCUAACACAUGCAAGUCGAGCGGAUGAAGGGAGCUUGCUCCUGGAUUCAGCGGCAGACGGGUGAGUAAUGCCUAGGAAUCUGCCUGGUAGUGGGGGAUAACGUCCGGAAACGGGCGCUAAUACCGCAUACGUCCUGAGGGAGAAAGUGGGGGAUCUUCGGACCUCACGCUAUCAGAUGAGCCUAGGUCGGAUUAGCUAGUUGGUGGGGUAAAGGCCUACCAAGGCGACGAUCCGUAACUGGUCUGAGAGGAUGAUCAGUCACACUGGAACUGAGACACGGUCCAGACUCCUACGGGAGGCAGCAGUGGGGAAUAUUGGACAAUGGGCGAAAGCCUGAUCCAGCCGUGCCGCGUGUGUGAAGAAGGUCUUCGGAUUGUAAAGCACUUUAAGUUGGGAGGAAGGGCAGUAAGUUAAUACCUUGCUGUUUUGACGUUACCAACAGAAUAAGCACCGGCUAACUUCGUG